rfam:Gossypium arboreum cultivar AKA8401 contig_114149_1, whole genome shotgun sequence.
AACCCAUAGUGAGGGCACCUUCUUAAUAAAUCUUUAUACUCUCUCAUAUAUCAUAUAAGGUCUCUAAAUCCAUCUGUACAAAGGAAGAGAUAUCAUUCCUCAAUUU